CGGCGGCCAAUCAAAUAAACCAAUAGGCGGGGUAACCAUUACAGGAGCAACGCUGCCUGCGGCCAUCAUAACGGACACAGAUUUCAAAGCGGGUGAAAGAUACUAGUUGCCAACCGCCAAUAAAAGUUAAAGAAGAAGAAAGAACAAGAUUACUAUGUGUCAGGUCUGUGUUCAUCAAGACUUGGAAGACUCUGGAGUAGGACAAAAAGGAUGAUGGGGUGUAUAUUCCAGUAGACACGUAAAACAUCAAGUGGGCUGCUGUAAUGUUUACGUCUAUGGAAAGAGGAGCUGAGAAGCAGUACUUCUUGUUGAGGACAAUCUUGAACACUUUCUCAUACACAUUUAUUAUUAUUAUUAGUGUUGGAUUGUUUUUGUUUCAAUUUUAUUAAUUGUAUUGUUUUAAUUUUUCGAUCGAUUUGAAAUUACCUCAGUUAGAUUCAUGCUAAUACUUUAACUGGAACUUGUAUCUUUGCGUAAAGCUGACUGUAGAGUUGGUUUCACAUACACAUGAAGUUGUAGUGUUUCUAAUUAACUUAAAUAACUUUUAAGUUCAGUUUGGUUCAAACUUGUAUUUACCCAUGGUAAUUCAUUUAAAUUUUAAUUCAUGCUAAUAUGUUAAUUUCAAUGAAAACUUCUGUAUUUGUGUAUAGCUGGUCAUUUGGGCAAACUAUGUUUCACACACCAGUGUAACUGUCACAAUGUUUUUUUAUUUUAUUUUUUAUUUUCAGUUUGUUCUAAACUUCUGUUUGUUUACUAAGAAUUAAAUUGCUUUGUAAUUUAAGUUGUUGGUGUUAGAUUCAUGCCAAUAAUGUAUUUGAACAAACUAGUAUUUUUGUUUAUUGCUGGCAGUUUAUAUUAGAAUAGUUCUAACACAUACAAUGUGGAUGUCGUAGUGUUAUUGACUUGUGUGUUAUUGAUUAAUAAAAAUGGCAAAUAAUUUCAAA